CCUACGGGUGGCAGCAGUGGGGGAUAUUGCACAAUGUGCGCAAGCCUUAUGCAGCGACGCCGCGUGGAGGAAGAAGGUUUUCGGAUUGUAAACUCCUGUCUUCAGGGACGAUAAUGACGGUACCUGAGGAGGAAGCCACGGCUAACUACGUGCCAGCAGCCGCGGUCAUACGUAGGUUGCAAGCGUUGUCCGGAAUUACUGGGUGUAAAGGGAGCGUAGGCGGGACAGCAAGUCCAGUGUGAAAUCUAUCGGCUCAACCGAUAGCUGCGCUUGAAACUGUGGUUCUUGAGUGAAGUAGAGGCAGGCGGAAUUCCUAGUGUAGCGGUGAAAUGCGUAGAUAUUAGGAGGAACACCAGUGGCGAAGGCGGCUUACUGGACUGUAACUGACGUUGAGGCUCGAAAGCGUGGGGAGCAAACAGGACUAGAUACCCCUGUAGUC
rnacentral:rRNA from 1 species